GAUGAACGCUGGCGGCGUGCUUAACACAUGCAAGUCGAACGAUGAAGCCCAGCUUGCUGGGUGGAUUAGUGGCGAACGGGUGAGUAACACGUGAGUAACCUGCCCUUAACUCUGGGAUAAGCCUGGGAAACUGGGUCUAAUACCGGAUAGGAGCGUCCACCGCAUGGUGGGUGUUGGAAAGAUUUAUCGGUUUUGGAUGGACUCGCGGCCUAUCAGCUUGUUGGUGAGGUAAUGGCUCACCAAGGCGACGACGGGUAGCCGGCCUGAGAGGGUGACCGGCCACACUGGGACUGAGACACGGCCCAGACUCCUACGGGAAGCAACAGUGGGGAAUAUUGCACAAUGGGCGCAAGCCUGAUGCAGCGACGCCGCGUGAGGGAUGACGGCCUUCGGGUUGUAAACCUCUUUCAGUAGGGAAGAAGCGAAAGUGACGGUACCUGCAGAAGAAGCACCGGCUAACUACGU
rnacentral:rRNA from 1 species